rnacentral:rRNA from 1 species
UUAAAUUGAAGAGUUUGAUCAUGGCUCAGAUUGAACGCUGGCGGCAGGCCUAACACAUGCAAGUCGAACGGUAACAGGAAGCAGCUUGCUGCUUCGCUGACGAGUGGCGGACGGGUGAGUAAUGUCUGGGAAACUGCCUGAUGGAGGGGGAUAACUACUGGAAACGGUAGCUAAUACCGCAUAACGUCGCAAGACCAAAGAGG